AUGGCAAAUACACGAGAUCGAAUACGGAGAAGGUUGGUACGAAGUUCAGUUGAAGUUACAAGACUGAGAGGUAUUGAGAGACGUCCGUCGUGGCCUGGUGAGAAGACGAAGAGAACAAAGGGGAAUGGUUGUGGCGGCACCGUGAUUUUGUUCAAUCGGAGGAGCUGUGUUUGGCUGCCGCGUAUAUGUUUGGAGGAGAAGAGAAAAGUGAAAUUUGUUUCAUGA